GGAAUAUUGGACAAUGGGCGCAAGCCUGAUCCAGCCACGCCGCGUGAGUGAUGAAGGCCUUCGGGUCGUAAAGCUCUGUGGGGAGGGACGAACCGCCGCUGGGUAAUACCCAACGGCAUGACGGUACCCCCUUAGCAAGCACCGGCUACCUUCGUGCCCGCCGCCGCGGUAAUACGAAGGGUGCAAACGUUGCUCGGAAUUAUUGGGCGUAAAGCGCACGUAGGCGGCUUUGUAAGUUGGAUGUGAAAGCCCUCGGCUCAACCAAGGAAGUGCAUCCAAAACUACAGAGCUUGAGUACUUAAGAGGAUCGCGGAAUUCCCGGUGUAGAGGUGAAAUUCGUAGAUAUCGGGAGGAACACCAGUGGCGAAGGCGGCGAUCUGGGAAGAUACCGACGCUGAGGUGCGAAAGCGUGGGGAGCAAAC
rnacentral:rRNA from 1 species